UUCCUUCUCAGCUGGUUCCAAGCUCCUCCUAAGUCUCCUAAGGCAUGGAGACUUAGUUCUUGCACUUUCCAUCUCCAGCAGGAAUCUGCAAGAAACAGUGCAGUGAUGAGGAUACCCCCUCUUUGAAUGUGCCAUGAGGCUUUCUUGGGAUGGUUCCUAGAACUGGAAACCUUGCGUGAAGGGCAGGCCGUUUUCUUUGGUGAAACAGCAGGAAGAAACCGCAUGCCUGUCUGGAACUGGCUGUGUGACCUCGGACCUGACCUUUCUGGGCCACCGUGAAAUGGUCACACUGAAUUCUCCCUCGGAGCCUCUUAACGGGGAUUCAGAGCAAUUUGAUGGGGGAAGCACUUAACACAGAGCCUGAGACCUACUCAGUGGAAGUUUGUUUUAAAUGUAUUUUCCGCUAAACUAAAUCCUACGGAAAAAAACGCCGCCACAUGUGUUUCCAUUGUUCAGCCUUCAGGCAGUUCCUUCCCUCUCCUCCUGUGGCCAAAGACAUGUUGGUUAGUCUGAGAUUCCUGAUCCUCCUUUUUCCUUUUAUGACACCAACCAGCACGUCAGCUGGCUGCAGAUGGGCCUGCAGCCCCUCCUGUUGGCGAAUCCCCUCCUCCCCCCCGAUGGUCUGCGUGUGUCCCCCUGUGAUGGCUGCUGUUUCUACAGGGACAGAGCAGGGUGGCCGUGCAUGGUUAUCAGUGACCACGGGAUACAAAGGGGGGGCUUCAAUGGAUUCACACACCACACACACACACACACACACACACACAUACACACUCUCUCUCUCUCUCAGA